rnacentral:rRNA from 1 species
GACGAACGCUGGCGGCGUGCUUAACACAUGCAAGUCGAACGGAAAGGCCCCUUUGGGGGUACUCGAGUGGCGAACGGGUGAGUAACACGUGAGUAACCUGCCCUUGACUUCGGGAUAACUUCAGGAAACUGGGGCUAAUACCGGAUAGGAAUCCGUGCUGCAUGGUGGGGGUUGGAAAGCUUCGGCGGUUUGGGAUGGACUCGCGGCUUAUCAGCUUGUUGGUGGGGUAGUGGCUUACCAAGGCUUUGACGGGUAGCCGGCCUGAGAGGGCGACCGGCCACAUUGGGACUGAGAUACGGCCCAGACUCCUACGGGAGGCAGCAGUGGGGAAUAUUGCACAAUGGGCGGAAGCCUGAUGCAGCAACGCCGCGUGCGGGAUGACGGCCUUCGGGUUGUAAACCGCUUUCAGCAGGGGCGAAGCUUGUGGUGACGGUACCUGCAGAAGAAGCACCGGCUAACUACGUG